CUUUUGCGUUUUAUAUACAUAUUCAAGAAUUUCUCUUAAAAGGAGAAAUUCCUGACAAUCUCACAGAGCGUCGGAAGGUGAAACGGUCGUCUACGAAUUUUACUAUCAAAGACGACAGACUCUUCUACAUCGGCCCCAGUAGGCAAUACAUGCGGCUAGUUGUCCUGUCAGAGGAAGAGAAGAGGUCUGUUCUUACAGAGUGCCACAAUAACCCUGGGACUGGCAAUCACAGUGGUGUCAGAGGCACUCAAAACAGGGUUAUUGCUGGCUACUAUUGGUCUACAAUCAUCCAGGAUGUGAAAGACUGGGUCAGAUCUUGUCACUGCUGCCAGUUAAAUGACCCAAUAAAGACUGCCAGUCUUGCAUUCCAUUAAGGUAAACGAAGCUUGGGAGGUGCUUGGUUUGGAUUUGAUUGGACCACUGCCAGAAACAGCACGCAACAACAAGUAUGUCCUUACCAUGACAGACCUGUACACCAAGAACCCAUGCAAUCUAAGACGGCAACUGAGGUGUCUGCAAUAAUAACCGCAAAGUUGUACUUGUUCGGCAUGGUUAGGAAAAUUAUUACAGACCAAGGGAAGGAGUUUGUUAACAAGCUAAACAACAGCAUUUUCAGCAUGCUGAACAUCAAACAUGCUGUCUCCAGUGCUUACCAUCCCCAGACCAACGGACAGGUAACUCUUUGGAUAUCUGUCCGGUAAGAUCUAUUGUUGUCUUAUGGUUAUUUAUCAACUUUAUAAAUGCAUUGAUAUGUACAGGAUGAAAUAACCAAUCAGAAUAUUAAGCGUACUCUCAGAAAGUAUGUGAAUGACAACCACAGUGAUUGGGACCUCCACCUUCCUGCUGUGGUACAUGGAAUUAACACUGUCUCACCCCUCAUCGUCACAUAUCGACGUUUGGUCAUUGCCCCCUAGCGUCGACAUCCGAAGCAAAGGGUACCCCUUUUGCGUCGCUUUUCAACGUCGAUGGCCGUCCUAUACACUUCAAUGUAAAUCCCUUAUCUUCGGAUUCUGACGCAGGGGGGGUCAACCAACGAAUCUCUUGCAUGUGUUGGAAAUUUUCGGUUUUCGUGGUCAUAAUGACAAAUAACUUGGCUAGAUGUAGGCAUUAUCUUGCGAUAAAAAAUACAGCAGGUUUUAGGCUACAGAGGAUAGACUUUUAACGGAUCAGACCCUCAACGUCGGAUUUUGACGCAUGCAGGGGGUCAACAUAGAUUUGCGCUCUUUAUAAAAAAAAAAGCGAUUUGCCCGGUAUAUUUGUUAAUGUAUAUUUGUGUGUAUAAUUACUUCGACCGGACCUAACUGUUGUGUAAAAUAAUAAUAAUAAUAAUAAUAAUAAUAAUAAUAAUUGUUCUUGCAUCUGUACCUUGCGUCACGUUGGCCAAUCAACUACUUCAGCAGUAAAACAUCAUUGCAUGCGACGAUCCCUAGCACCAUUGCGUUUUUUGAUUUCCAUACGUAAGUAUUGCACUUAAUAUAGAAUUAGACAUAUUAGAUAUUUGCAUAUCAGAAACAAUCAGCUCAUGCCAUAAAGCUGUUGUGUUUGGUAAUAUUUUAGCGCAUUGAGAUGGUGUUUUCCAUACAUUAACUAGACUGGCGGCCCGCCACAUUUUAAUUUGUCCCGCCUCAGUCUCAAAGUAGGCCUGUCGCGAUAUUCAAAUAACCGAUUGAUAAUUGCGCUCUUUUAAACGGCAAAAAUGCACCAAUUAAGUUUUCGUGUAUUAUAUUCAAACUCAUCUGAAGCCAUUCCAUAGCUUCUGAAUUAUAUAGUCACCUAGAUUAUUUAUUUAUUUAUUUUUGGGUCAGCUUAUGAUUAUAUAUUUUUAUUCAUUUGCUAUUUUUCUCUAUAAUGGAGAAGUGUGUUCAGUGCAUUCUGGAUUGUGUUUAAUAAAUCAAAGAGUGACGUUUAGUACCACAAAUACAGAUGUAUAGAUACAGGCCCCCACUA